UACGGAGGGUGCAAGCGUUAUCCGGAAUCACUGGGUUUAAAGGGUGCGUAGGCGGCUUAGUAAGUCAGGAGUGAAAGCCUGCGGCUUAACCGUAGAAAUGCUUUUGAUACUGCUGAGCUUGAAUUAGGUUGAGGUUGGCGGAAUGUGACAUGUAGCGGUGAAAUGCAUGGAUAUGUCAUAGAACACCAAUUGCGAAGGCAGCUGACUAGACCUGAAUUGACGCUGAGGCACGAAAGCGUGGGGAGCGAACAGG
rnacentral:rRNA from 1 species